GUGCCAGCAGCCGCGGUAACACGUAGGGGGCGAGCGUUGUCCGGAUUUAUUGGGCGUAAAGAGCUCGUAGGCGGUUCCGUCAGUCGGGUGUGAAAACUCUGGGCUCAACCCAGAGACGCCACCCGAUACUGCGGUGACUAGAGUCCGGUAGGGGAGUGCGGAAUUCCUGGUGUAGCGGUGAAAUGCGCAGAUAUCAGGAGGAACACCAACGGCGAAGGCAGCACUCUGGGCCGGUACUGACGCUGAGGAGCGAAAGCGUGGGGAGCGAACAGGAUUAGAUACCCUGGUAGUCC
rnacentral:rRNA from 1 species